GACGAACGCUGGCGGCGUGCUUAACACAUGCAAGUCGAACGGAAAGGCCCUGCUUUUGUGGGUUUCUCGAUUGGCGAACGGGUGAGUAACACGUGAGUAACCUGCCCUUGUCUUUGGGAUAACUUCAGGAAACUGGGGCUAAUACCGGAUAUGAUCUCCUGCUGCAUGGUGGGGGUUGGAAAGUUUCGGCGGUUGGGGAUGGACUCGCGGCUUAUCAGCUUGUUUGUGGGGUAGUGGCUUACCAAGGCUUUGACGGGUAGCCGGCAUGAGAGGGUUACCGGCCACAUUGGGACUGAGAUACGGCCCAGACUGCUACGGGAGGCAGCAGUGGGGAAUAUUGCACAAUGGGCGGAAGCCUGAUGCAGCAACGCCGCGUGCGGGAUGACGGCCUUCGGGUUGUAAACCGCUUUGGCAUGUGACGAAGAGUGAGUGACGGUAAUGGGUAAAGAAGCACCGGCUAACUACGUG
rnacentral:rRNA from 1 species